GUAAGUGGAUUAGAUAAACAAAAACAAAAAACAUGGCGGUUUUCUAUCAUAUUAGAGAGACAUGUGUUGAAAACGAAUUUGCACGAAUAAUUGUUCUUUCUUUAGAAAUCAUUUUACAUACCGCUGUCUGAAAGAUUCUUUUAAAAAAGAUAUCUCUUAUCAUGAAAUAAGGCAAGUAAAGGUGUAGACAAUGGGAAAGAAAACAUGUGUUUCAGUUUGAAAAAUGGAAAGAGGGAACUCUUUAAAAAGAAUUUAACAGUAAAAUUGGUUGAUUAAACUAAUUUGAAUUGGAAAUGGAAAAUGUACACA
rnacentral:rRNA from 1 species